AACGAACGCUGGCGGCAUGCCUAACACAUGCAAGUCGAACGAGACCUUCGGGUCUAGUGGCGCACGGGUGCGUAACGCGUGGGAACCUGCCCUUAGGUUCGGAAUAACUCCCCGAAAGGGGUGCUAAUACCGGAUAAUGUCUUCGGACCAAAGAUUUAUCGCCUUUGUAUGGGCCCGCGUUGGAUUAGCUAGUUGGUAGGGUAAAAGCCUACCAAGGCUACGAUCCAUAGCUGGUCUGAGAGGAUGAUCAGCCACACUGUGACUGAGACACGGCCCAGACUCCGGAGGGAAGCAGCGGCCGGGAAUAUUGGAGAAGGGGCGGGUGGGUAAUAUAGCCAAACCGCGUAGGUCAAGAACGACUUCGGGCUGGAAAGCGAUGAGGUGGGGAGGGAAAAACAGCAUUUUAACACGGCGUUAUAAUGACGGUACCGAAAGAAUAAGCUCCGGCUAACUCCGUG
rnacentral:rRNA from 1 species